AGAGUUUGAUUCUGGCUCAGGAUGAACGCUGGCGGCAUGCCUAAUACAUGCAAGUCGAACGAAGUCUUUAGGAAGCUUGCUUCCAAAGAGACUUAGUGGCGAACGGGUGAGUAACACGUAGGUAACCUGCCCAUGUGCCCGGGAUAACUGCUGGAAACGGUAGCUAAAACCGGAUAGGUAUGAGGGAGGCAUCUUCCUCAUAUUAAAGCACCUUCGGGUGUGAACAUCGGAUGGACCUGCGGAGCAUGAGCUGGUUGGUGAGGUAACGGCCCACCAAGGCGAUGAUGCGUAGCCGACCUGAGAGGGUGAACGGCCACAUUGGGACUGAGACACGGCCCAAACUCCUACGGGAGGCAGCAGUAGGGAAUUUUCGUCAAUGGGGGGAACCCUGAACGAGCAAUGCCGCGUGUGUGAAGAAGGUCUUCGGAUCGUAAAGCACUGUUGUAAGUGAAGAAUGCCAUAUAGAGGAAAUGCUAUGUGGGUGACGGUAGCUUACCAGAAAGCCACGGCUAACUACGUGCCAGCAGCCGCGGUAAUACGUAGGUGGCAAGCGUUAUCCGGAAUCAUUGGGCGUAAAGGGUGCGUAGGUGGCACGAUAAGUCUGAAGUAAAAGGCAACAGCUCAACUGUUGUAUGCUUUGGAAACUGUCGAGCUAGAGUGCAGAAGAGGGCGAUGGAAUUCCAUGUGUAGCGGUAAAAUGCGUAGAUAUAUGGAGGAACACCAGUGGCGAAGGCGGUCGCCUGGUCUGUAACUGACACUGAUGCACGAAAGCGUGGGGAGCAAAUAGGAUUAGAUACCCUAGUAGUCCACG
rnacentral:rRNA from 1 species